rnacentral:rRNA from 1 species
UACGUAGGGGGCAAGCGUUGUCCGGAUUUAUUGGGCGUAAAAGGCUUGUAGGUGGCCACGCCAAGUCGGAUGUGAAAUCUCCCGGCUCAACUGGGAGGGGUCAUUCGAUACUGGUGGGCUCGAGGCCGGUAGGGGGAAGUGGAAUUCCCGGUGUAGUGGUGGAAUGCGUAGAUAUCGGGAGGAACACCAGUGGCGAAGGCGGCUUCCUGGACCGGUUCUGACACUGAUGAGCGAA